AGUUUGGGCUAGGUAAGGCCCUGUGCUGUACUAAAUAUGUUCAGUUUUCAAGACUAUGUUUUAGGUACAGACCUUGACAGCUGUGCCAGCCAGCUUCAGGUGACAGGACUGCAGUCAUAUUUAAGGAGUCAUGAAGAAGGUUCCACGAAAUCCUCAAACAGCAGAGAAUCUCCCACUGCGACGCAGCAUGGCCCCGUGAAAAGGAAUGAUGUCUCCAUUGCACUCACUGGUUCGAUUACUCCCACAAAACACUCACCUAGACCGGUCAGUGCCUCGAAGAGAAAGAAUACAACUGGAUCGCCAAGGACGCAUAAGGAACAAACCUUUGAAAUUGAAGUAGUUGGCAGUAAUAGUAGUAUAUGCGGAGAGAAAAUGUGGUUGCCAAGCACUUCCAGACAGGAACUCAAUGGGACUGAAUCAUCUGAGAGUCUCAGUUCUUCUAAAGUUAAACAUAAUGGAGGUGGAUUGCAAAACUCUCACAUAAAGCACAACGAUAACACUGCAGCGUUCAAAAAGCACUGUUCAUCUGCAGGUCAACGUAGAGGCGAGUUGUCGAGCACACCAAGAGAAUCAAUUUGUGGCAAGGAAGCAACUGGCAAUAAGAAUUCAUCUAUAGGGAAACCGACACUCCAUUUGGUGAAUAUCCCAACAGAAGGAACACGUGAAAAAGAAACAAUUAGCAACGACAGUCUCUCUAAAGGUAAAGAAAGAAUGCAGUUGUUGAGUACUUCUAGAUUACAAGGACUUAAAACGGAAGAAAUAACUAAACAAAAUCUUUCAGAACAAAAACACACUAUAAAACAACGUCCAAAACAGAACCAAACUGUAAAAUGUCUAGAGAAAAACAUUCAUGAACAUGAAAUAUCAAAACACAGUUCAAAUGUAGCAGAAUGUCUUAAACAAAUAUCUACAGCGAGACAUUUAGAGCAGAAACCUGCAGAAAACCCUGUAGAAAUAAUGUGUUCCAUGUCCGCUAGUAUAGAACAGAGAUCCACAGCGGAGCAACAUUUGAAACAAAGUCCUACAGCAGAACAACAUUUGAAACAAAGUCCUAGAGCAGAACAACAUAUGAAACAACGUCCUACAGCGGAGCAACAUUUGAAACAAAGUCCUACAGCAGAACAACAUCUGAAACAAAGUCCUACAGCAGAACAACAUUUGAAACAAAGUCCUACAGCAGAACAACAUUUAAAACAUACAUCAGCUGUAGAAGAAUGUUCGAAUCAAAAUUGUACUAUAGAACAAAGUUUAGAACACCAUCUAGCAGCCAGUUAUACUGUAGAACAGUCCACUAGAAGUACGAAGACUGUCACGUGUUCAAAAGAUGAUCAAGCGUCUGUUCGACGUAACAAAGGAUAUGUCAACUCAAAUUCAGCCUUACAAGAUGGAAAUGUCACGAACAUUCACUCUCAAAGCAGUCGCCGUGAAUGCACUGAAAAAGAAUACAUUAAGCCAGAUACUCAGUCACAUUCUUGUGAUCGCCCAGUGGAUACAUGUGUUCAAUUACCGUGCGAAAUGCAGCGUCCUCUAGUGGUAGGCAAAUGCCUUGAAGACCGAGACACGACAGAUGUACACACCAAGGGCGUUGAUGACCUGCAUCACACGGUCCGAUCACUCCAACGUCCAGCUUACUCAACACAUUUAGACAGCAAUUCCAGCAGAUUUUCUGUAGGAUGCUGUACAAACGCCACACCACAAGUUGUACUGCCCUCUAAUGGAACGUCAUUACAACAGUUUAGUAGUUCCAGAUCAACGUUGACGUCACUACCAGAAAAAACAAGGGAGAGAACUACAAUGCCCGGUACUUCAGUCGAUGCAUGUCAGUCUGGGAAAGGAAGUACAGAAAACAACCGUGGACAUCUUAAUGACAUCGCUGACGAUGUACAGCACCACAAAGAAAGCUUCUCGGUACAUGGUGUCAGCAGUGGGAAGCACGUUGGUGAAGUGCUUGAAAAUAAAGUAACAGAUGGCAUGUGUUCAGAUAGAGUGACUAAGGCGAAACAAUACUCUUUAAAAUGGUCAAAAGGGAGAAGUUUAAAUACUGCAAACCAUGAACCAGAUAACACGAGUGCAAUGGACAAGCACCCUCUCCACAAAGAUCAGAUAAAUAACGAAGUACACCAGUCAUGGAAGAUGUCGUCAUCUAAUCGGUAUAAAGACUUGAAACAAGAAACGUCUGUUAGUGGCAGACUGUUUGAUGACAAUGCCACAGAAAAGCUGCUUUCGCGUUCUAGACACUUUAAGGAUGAGAUUUGUGUUGAACAUCAGAGUCAAAAUGACGGGCCACCGACUACAGUUGAACAGAAAGGCAACAAAAGAAAAAUUACCGAAACAAACAGUAUGGUACGACAAACCAGUUCCACGACAACAACAUUUUAUGCAGUAAAGAAACUAGUAGCGAAUGAAAACGUUGAAAGUUGCAAAAGAAAGAAUGCCACUGAACCCGGUUUCUGGUGUGGACACCUAUGCUCCCUAAAGUCUCAGACUUCUGUUAAAACAGGUUCGCAAAAGAAUAAAUCCAUCGACUGUAGUUUAACGAGUGUGCAUGCGAAUCAACGGGCUCAAAAGACUGAGGACCACCUUGAAGAAUGUCUGGAAGGAACUAACACCACUGACUCUAGCCGUAUAAGAAAUGUACGCGAACCACAAUACUGUCCAGAUCACGAUGGUAACAAAGGAAAAGGUCUGAGUCUGAACAGAAGGGCUGAGCCUGGUCAUGUGAUGAGCUUACACGAGGUACCGAGAUAUAGAGACUUCAGAAAUGAUACAAAUUCAGCCACUCUGGAUAACACGGGAGACUCCUCCGAUCCAUCCAGUGAUGACAAUCACCCACUAGCAGGCAAUCCAAAAUGUCUAAAGUCAUUACCAGGUUUAUUACUACGUCAAGGACCAUCAGUACUAUACGUUCCCAAUAUUGACUUGAUGUAUGACAAAUGGAAGCGAAAGAAAUGCAAAAAGAACAGAAAGAAGAGGAGGAGGAGGAAACGCAAGAAAUCUUCUAGAACAAAUACUGGAUCUAGUAGUUCGAGUGGUACUGGCAACUCAACGUCUGAGGACGAUUCCAAACCAUCUAAACUGCUAGCCAGAACAAAACGUGUAAGACAUCAAAUACGGAAAAAGCGAAGAUAUUUAAGGAAACUGAGCAUCAAAAAGUGUCAAAGAGACAUUUCUACCCAGUGGACACUUGGUAUCAUUGGCAGGAGCCACGUCUAUGCCAGACAGUUCAAAACACAACUUGAAGACUGAGCGCAACCAACCACGCGUGCACAGUGCAUUAAGAAACCGGCCGUCUACUAGUGGAAUGACUCGCCACAGAAAAAAAAAAAAAAGAAAAAGUCUGUUGUGGAAAAAAAGAAAAUAACAUCUUGAUAUUCGGCGAACGUUUGAGCAAUCCGAUUCUGCGGCACAACCACAGAGAGAAAGCUACUGGAAAGAAACGUGUAUCCUGUUCCCCGUUUUCAUGUCCUAGUCAGACUUCCACAAGGUCAAGGUUAUGCAGAGUAUAGUACGGACGAGACUCAUAGUGUUCGGGAGAAACAAUCUCCAGAAAAAACAUACCGUGCAAUAGAAAAAUUAUUAUAACCCCUUGCGUUAACAAAAAACUAUUUACUUUUUUUUAUAACAUUAUCUAUAGAUCAUUUCACAAGACUAAUUUUAAAUGAUAAAACAUUAUGUAAACGGUGUUUCUAGUUUGUUGUAGCAUAUGUAAUAAAUAUCUUUUUAAUGA
rnacentral:misc_RNA from 1 species